CCGCAGGCCACGCCCCAGCUGGCCACGCCCACCAGGUGCCAGGAACCGCCCAGGCGGCAACAGAGGGGACCCCCGGAGUCACCCUGGGGACAGAACGGGGACAGGUGAGACACACCUGGGACAGGUGAGACACACCUGGGGACACCUGAGAUACACCUGACACACCUGGGACACCUGAGAUACACCUGACACACCUGGGGACACCAGAGGGGACCCCCGGAGUCACCCUGGGGACAGAACAGGGACACACCUGAGACAGGUGAGACACACCUGGGACAGGUGAGACACACCUGAGACACACCUGGGAUACACCUGACACACCUGACACACCUGGGGACAACAGAGGGGACCCCCGGAGUCACCCUGGGGACAGAACGGGGACACACCUGAGACAGGUGAGACACACCUGGGGACACCUGAGAUACACCUGGGAUACACCUGGGAUACACCUGGGACAGGUGAGACACACCUGACACACCUGGGGACACCCGGAGUCACCCUGGGGACACAGGGGACAGGUAACACCUGGGGACAGGUGACACACAGGUAACACAGGUGACACAGAUGAUGUACAGGUGACACACAGGAGGUCACACAGGUGACACACAGGUAACACAGGUGACACAGGUGACACAGAGGUAACACAGAUGACACACAGGUGACACAGGAGGUGACACAGGUAUCACCCAGGUGACACCCAGGUGUCACUCAGGUGUCACAGGUGACACACAGGAGGUCACACAGGUGACACAGGUGUCACACAGGUGUCACACAGGUGUCACAGGUGACACAGGUGACACAGGUGUCACUCAGGUGUCACCCAGGUGUCACCCAGGUGUCCCUCACCUGGCAGGCGUCGCGCUGUCCCUCGGGGUACCCGGCACACACGGUGUCCUCGGCAGGUAACCCCAUGUCCUCCAGGGGCGUGUCCAGGUGUGUCCUCAGGUGUGUCCCCGAUGUCCUCAGGUGUGUCCCCGAUGUCCUCAGGUGUGUCCCCGAUGUCCCCAGCUGUGUCCUCGAUGUCCCCAGGUGUGUCUCAGCUGUCCCCAGGUGUCUCUCAGCUGUCCCCAGGUGUGUCUCAGGUGUCCCCAGGUGUCUCUCAGGUGUCCCCAGGUGUGUCCCCAGGUGUUUCCCGUACAGGCAGUGGCAGUGGCGCUGACUCAGCAGAGGCACCUCCACCUGCUGCAGCGUCUUGGGGGGCGGCAGCGGCACUGCGGGGACACCUGGGGUCACCUGGNUGUCCCCAGGUGUCUCUCAGGUGUCCCCAGGUGUGUCCCCAGGUGUUUCCCGUACAGGCAGUGGCAGUGGCGCUGACUCAGCAGAGGCACCUCCACCUGCUGCAGCGUCUUGGGGGGCGGCAGCGGCACUGCGGGGACACCUGGGGUCACCUGGGGUCACCUGGGGUCAGCUGGGGUCACCUGGGGUCACCUGGGGUCAGCUGGGGUCACCUGGGGUCACACCUGGGGUCACCUGGGGUCAGCUGGGGACACCUGGGGUCACCUGGGGACACCUGGGGACACCUGGGGACACCUGGGGUCACACCUGGGACAGGUGAUGUCACCUGGGGGGCUCUGGGGUCACCUGGGGUCACCUGGGACAGGUGAGGGGACACCUGGGGUCACACCUGGAGUCACCUCGGGUCAGGUGACGUCACCUGGGGUCACACCUGGGGGGCUCUGGGCUCACACCUGGGGUCACCCAGAGGUCACCACGGGGUCCCCAACCCUGCCCCAAUGACCCCGAUACCCCUGAUAUGUCACGAUAUCCCCCGAUAUAUCGCGAUAUAUCGCGACAGGUCCCUCACCAGCCGUCCUGACGUGUCCCCAGUGACCCCAAUAUGUCACGAUAUGUCACGAUAUCACCCCGAUAUCCCCCGAUAUAUCGCGAUAUAUCACGAUAUCCCCCCGAUAUGUCACGAUAUCCCCCAAUAUAUCGCGAUAUAUCACGAUAUCCCCCCGAUAUGUCACGAUAUCCCCUGAUAUAUCGCGAUAUAUCGUGACAUGUCCCUCACCGGCCGUCCUGACGUGUCCCUGGUGACCCCAAUGACCCCAAUACCCCUCGAUAUAUCGCGAUAUAUCACGAUAUCCCCCCGAUAUCCCCCGAUAUAUCGCGACAGGUCCCUCACCGGCCGUCCUGACGUGUCCCUGGUGACCCCAAUGACCCCGAUACCCCCCGAUAUGUCACGAUAUCCCCCGAUAUAUCGCGAUAUAUCACGAUAUCCCCCCGAUAUCCCCCGAUAUCCCCCGAUAUAUCGCGAUAUAUCACGAUAUCCCCCCGAUAUCCCCCGAUAUCCCCCGAUAUAUCGCGAUAUAUCGCGACAUGUCCCUCACCGGCCGUCCUGACGUGUCCCCAGUGACCCCAAUGACCCCGAUAUGUCACGAUAUCCC
ensembl:lncRNA